AGGAUACUGCAGAUCAUAUCAACCCCUCCGGACAUGUCAUCUUUCCAGUUUAGGAUAGCAAAACAUCAAUGUAUGUGCCAAAGUAGAAUUCAUCAACUUUAGCCUUGAUCUCUUUGAUCAGCUCAUCGUCUCUACACACCCUAUCUACAUUGAAGUCACCCCUUGUAUUUGUCACCAGAUCACACCAAGCUAAGCCAGUAACCAUCAGCUGACCUUGGACUUGCCAAUGGGCACUUAACUUCUACCAGGCCAUAU